rnacentral:rRNA from 1 species
UGGGGAAUUUUGGACAAUGGGCGCAAGCCUGAUCCAGCCAUGCCGCGUGAGUGAAGAAGGCCUUCGGGUUGUAAAGCUCUUUCGGUUGGGAAGAAAUUGCUUCGGUUAAUACCCGGAGUAGAUGACGGUACCAGCAUAAGAAGCACCGGCUAACUACGUG